CUGAAUCUCUGGUGCUUGGGCUGCUCAGGACUUGUUGAGACCAGGCUCAUCUAAAGGAUGAAGAUAUAGAAGAUUAUUUUGAAAGACACAUUAAAACCGUAGUCACUGAGGUGUGUCGUGUCUUGUCAGGCAAUUGCAGAAGAGCUCCUGUCGUCUCCAGACAUCUCCGUUACCAGUCUGGGUGAACCAAUGUGCUCAUACAACAACCCACCAGGCAGCCACCAGCCAGGCCUUCAGAAACACAACGUACACAUUGGGCCUGUGAUCUUCUUAUGCUGGGCUUCAAGGAGAAUUUAUACCUGAAGAUGAGAUGUACAGGAGUCUCUGAAGAACUUGAAAGAUAGUGAACUGAUCCAUGUGACGGAGAUGCAGGAGCAGCUUUGUUCGUGAGACCCUCGCACGUGUUGCUGUGAAACACCGCAGCCAGAAGAUGCCCGUCCUGCCCAGAAGCUGCGGCACGUGGGGUGCGGGUCAGCGGGGGCCGGACGGGCUGGGGAGAGUGGGAACCCUCGGGUGCCCGCGUCGGGAACGGCUCCGUCGUUUUCCCUGUGGGCUGGGGGUGCCUGGCACAGGGGCUGCUGCCCGGGGACCCCGGCACAGCAGGGGCUGCGUGGCUGUGCCUGCCCUGUGCUUGGACAUUGGGAGACUCUAUUUGUCUGCAUCCAUCUUAUUUUUCUCUCUGCUUCUGAGUGUGGCCGGGGGGGAGGUGUGUGUGUGUGCGUGGUGAGGGCGGCCGUGCUCUGCUGCCCAGGCACCCUUCCUACCACGGCGCACGGUACACAAAGCCAACUGCUUUUAUCUUCAAGCUCAGAUUAAAAAAAAAAAAGUGGAUCUAAUGUCUUGCAGAAUGCCUCUCUUUGUAAAUCCCCUGCCUGAUGCACCAGUCACAUCAUGUUAUAUUAUGCUUUGAAACGUAACGUGAUGUGACUGAUGCAACAUAUGACUGAUGGUGUAUCAGCCAGGAAAUGUAAAGGGACCCAAUUUUCUAAAGAGCAUUGUUACAGAAACAAACAAGAUGCCCUUUUAACUUGUAUUGAUUGAUUUCUAAAGAAUAAGCUCCUCUCCUACUUUUGCGAGUGCUGUAAUUAGUUGGUCGAG